rnacentral:rRNA from 1 species
AACGAACGCUGGCGGCAUGCCUAACACAUGCAAGUCGAACGAGACCUUCGGGUCUAGUUGCGCACGGGUGCGUAACGCGUGGUAACCUGCCCUUAGGUUCGGAAUACCUCCCCGAAAGGUGUCCUAAUACCGGUUGAUGUCUUCGGACCAAAGAUUUAUCGCUGUUGGAUGGGCCCGCGUUGGAUUAGCUAGUUGGUAGGGUAAAAGCCUAGCAAGGCGACGAUCCAUAGCUGGUCUGAGAGGAUGAUCAGCCACACUGGCACUGAGACACGGCCCAGACUCGUACGGGAGGGAGCAGUAGGGAAUAUUGGACGCUGGACGAAAGCGUGAUCCAGCAAUGCCGCGUGAGUGAGGAAGGCGGUAGGGUUGUAAAGCCGUCUUACCCGGGAUGAUAAUGACAGUACCGGGAGAAUAAGCUCCGGCUAACUACGUG